UUGAAUAUAUUCUUUAGUAUCAUGGCCAUAAUCUCGAUGGUAUAGAUAGUACUUCUUCAGAUCUCAUUGGGUUAGUGGAGCAUGCAUCCUCCUCAGCCUCAGCCAUUGGACAUUAUCUUUGAUCUCUGUCAAGAUCUGAGCUCUUGAGGUAUUUAGUGAUGUGUAUGUGACAAAAUGCUUCAGUGGAGAUCGUGACCGCUAAUCUUGAGGUGGUGUCCU
rnacentral:lncRNA from 1 species